GGUGCGACCGGAUGAUGGUUCACAACGACCGUGUCCUUUAAACGGGUCGGUGGGACUUUCGUCCGUUUGUAAC
rfam:Drosophila sechellia strain Rob3c scaffold_1 genomic scaffold, whole genome shotgun sequence.